GUGAUAAAAGAGUUUGUAGCCAAGGAAGGAGAGACUGUUGAACCGGGAACUAAGGUUGCUGUUGUUUCAAAGUCUGGUGAAGGUGUAGCUCAUGUUGCUCCCUCUGAGAAAAUAACAGAGAAACCUCCCCCUAAGAAGGAAUCUGCUCCUCAAGGAAAGAAAGAGGAAAAGCCUAAAGUUGAAACUGCUCCUGCAACAGAGAAGCCUAAAGCACCAGCACCAGCACCACCUAAACUCUCUGCAAGAGAACCUCAGCUUCCUCCUAAGGAAAGGGAAAGACGAGUUCCUAUGACAAGGCUCCGGAAAAGGGUUGCAACGCGAUUGAAGGACUCUCAAAACACAUUUGCAUUGUUAACUACAUUCAAUGAAGUUGACAUGACUAACUUGAUGAAGCUCCGUUCUGACUAUAAGGACGCUUUUGUUGAAAAGCAUGG
rnacentral:misc_RNA from 1 species